UGAUCCUGUAAUUGAUCCCACACUCUGCGGACAGCUUCUGUGCCUCCCUGCAUCCCGACAACAGCACCAGAAAUAAUCCAGUUUGGAAGUACUGGAGGUCUCCCUAUGGUUUCUGUAUAGGUUUCAAUUAGUUCAACAGAAAUACAAGUCACAUCAUGAAGAAGAAAAGAUUAAGAGUUGAAGCGACUCAAAACUGUGCUGUCGAAGACAACAGUGCCACAAGACAUGAGGUUGUCGAUUGUCUUAGUAUCAGACUGGUGCUUGCAGAUGAAAAGGACAUCACCAUCCUUAAUAGCAAAAGAGCCUCUGCUCUCCUCCACCUGAGUCUGGACAGCUGCAGCAGAUAUGAAGGCCUCUCCUGGGAUUGUAGACCAUAUGCUCCUGUUAGGC